GAAUAAAAUAACUAAAUUAAAGUAUGUCAAUUACACUGAUAGAAUGGUCUAAAAGACCUUUGUUCU
rnacentral:tRNA from 1 species